GCAAGGAACAAGUGGCACGAUCCAGCGAUUAUCUCGAUGGCCAGUUGAGCUUUCGCGAGCGCUUGAUGGUGCGCCAUCAUCUGUUGUUCUGCCCCAAUUGCCGGCGUUUCAUUCGCCAGAUGCGCCUGCUCCAGGCCACCUUGCGGGUGCUUCCGGAGCCGCCCCUGGAAGGUCUCGACGAACUGGCCGAGCGUCUGGCCGCCGAGCGCCAGAACCACCGCUGAUCCUGCCUCCCCCAUGGCUCGGUAGCCGCUGUCGAGCCACGG
rnacentral:sRNA from 7 species